CCUUUGGGCAGAGCUCACCUGUGUCCCAGGAGCGCAGCAGCUGCUGCAGGACAGACCCAGAGGGGAGGACGUGUUAGUGCCACAGCAGCCCCCAGCAGAAGCCCUCCCACACCAGCCGUCGCAGCGGACAGCACUCCCCGCAGGGACAUCCAGCCAACACUUUGGGAACAGCUGUCCACCGCAGCCAGAGCCUCCCCCUCCCGGCACUGCUUCCCCCUCGGGACAGGAGACGGGAGCGGGCGGGAAGGGCGGCCUCUCACCUGGAGGAGCACGGCCAGCAGGACGCACAGAGAUGCACUGCUAAACCUACAAGCAAAUAGUCAAGAGGUGAGAACCACAGAUCUGCCCAUGGGAAGGACAGGAAAACUAACAAUCAGCCAGCAUGGAUGAAUCACCUCCCAGGAAAGCUGGAACCUUUCUGGUUCUUACCCAGUGAGCAUGUGGCAAUAUAGAAGAGGAUGACUGCCUGCAAUCCUCUGAGAUCUACAGCAAGAGUGAGACUACAUGGAAGGAAAGCAUCCUGCAGAAAUGGUGCAGGGGUAGUCUGCUUCAAGUUUCAAAAUUAUGUGCCCUAGCCUGCAACGAAGUGUUCCUGCUUUGAUUUUUUUUCAUCAUUGGUUAUGGGGCACAUGAACACAGAAGUCAAAGCUAUCCCUUUCACAUCUCACUCUAGAAAAAGGUUAAGUAGUGAGUGAGAUACAACAAGAGUACAAGUUUACAAGAGUAACACACCCAUACCCCCAUGAUAUAGGGAAGCCUGCAAUAUAUUUGGUGAGUACAGUAGCCCCAGUGCAAUAAGAACUGAGAGGGCUGCUUUUAGGGAAGUUACAAUGUAUUAUGCUUGUACAAACAUACCACGCAGAAUAAACAUAGGCAGAGGAAGAAACAUCAACAACAAAACUCAGUGAGCCUCACUGAAGAUCCUGCAAGUGAUCCUACCUGUGAACUGGGAGAACUCCAGCUUGCCCAAAGACACAAACCCAGAGACAAUUCAGAGAAAGCGUAGCAUGGGGUCCUGAACUGAACAAAAAGCAGCAUCAAAACCAUGGCUGAUACAGAAGAACGUGUAUUUUUCAGAGCUAACAGUUUUCAUUAAGCAGGAAAGCCAAAUAAUAAACCAUAAUCCAGGACACAUCCCACAGAAACAAUUCAAGAGAUAAGGUGGAUGACAUACAGGUCAUGAGCAGGUGUGGAGGAUGAUGGAGAGACAGCACCAUUUCACUUCCCAUUGAGAGCUCUUCUGCAGAAGGAAAGCUGUAUAAUGGAUGUUAAGGUACAUGACACAGACUUCCAGUGCAAAGCAUUUCUGUAGUGUGACAGCAGAGACAGGGAGAUUCACAUAUGCGAGGCACAUCUCUGAAGGCUGCCAUUCAGCUACCAUUGUAGUAACUCUGCUCUGAGAUCAAUGACCAAUGUGAUUUCUGCCGGACUGCUGACCCAGCUGCCAUGCAAUACUAAGAAAAAUGAUAAGCAGGAAAAUGAGCUGGGAGAAUUAUAUCCAUGUGCUGAUUAUGCAUUGGCCAGUGGAAGGUAAAUGCAAUUCAUAGUAGAAAAUGCAUUAUUCUGUACAAGAAAUGGCAACCUAUUAUGCCCCGGAAACAGCUAAAUAUCCUGAUCUCAGGAAAGAUUCAAAGAAAGCAAUAUGCUUUAGAAGAGUCAAGCAGACCCAGAACAGCAUGCAGAAUUUCAGUAUUGAUGUGUGUAGUGUGCUAAAGCAGUGUUACCUGGGUGCCAACAUCUCCCUGAAGGUUAUAGACAUGAUGACUUAUUUGUCUCUCUAGAUCUGACACAACAACGUUGGGCCGUUUCUCCUGGUAAGUUGGCUCCUUCCAUUCUCCUGGAAAGCUGGCUGCUUUUUAUUGCUAUGGAGUUGACCAAACAGGAUGUGCCUGACAGCACCAAUACCCGUCCAGGAGCAGCAUGAGAAGGGCUGCUCUGCUAAGGAGGGCAGGCAGGAAGCUGGGCGUGACCUCAGCAUAGUCAGAACAGCACCUUCACCCACACGGUCUCUUAGUUCUGGAGCAGGGCAGAGCAAUGGCAGUCCACUGCCUGGCCUGGACAAGAUGAAGAGGUCAGAGAGCUCAAUCAGAAGCUGCAGGAGAUGUGGUCAGAGCUAGGGCAAAGCUGGUUACAACACAGGUCUGGAAAACCAGCCAGUGAGGCAGGGUAAGGCAGAGGCACAGCUCAGUCUAGAUCUGGGCAUCUGUGCCCUGAGCUUACCUUGGGUCUGUGGCAGACAGCCUAACAAAGGCUGUGUGAGAUGCUGGUAUUCAGUUUAUUGUAUGGGAUCAUGGGGGAAUGCCAGAACAUCCUUGUCAUAUGUGAGGAUGAAGAGGUUAUUGUAGGUCUUAUCCAGCUCUGUACCAAAAUACUUCAAGGAGGUGAAAACCCUUCAACACUAAGAUAAAGUUAGAUAGUAACCCCUUUGUGCCAUCUGUGAGACUAAUGAAGCUGAGAGUUUUGCUGGCCUUGACUAUAAAGCCAGAAAACAAUGAAGAACAUCUACAGAUGUUUUCUGACAACAUGAAGAGAAAAAUACAGUGGCAAGAAGAUUCCUGGCUCUAUGACAAAAAUUAAGUAUGCAGUCUAUUACAAUUCAUGUUCAUACACAGCAUUAAAAUUAUAAUUUCUGCAAAUGGCUGGACUCUUAGAAACUGAGAUACAUUAAGGAUGUGACGGAAAUCAAGGACCUUAUGAGAAGAUGCAAGAAUCAGGCCUCACACUUGGUUUCAAGUGCAAAUCUGGGUAUAUAAUUAAAUCAAACAUACUUCAUGUCAUCAGUACACACCUAAGUCUGCCUUCACUGAGGGCAAUGGGAGACACAGUUUCCAGCCUGAGGCUGCCACCAUGAUUCACAUGUACCAUCACAGCUAAAUGGAUGCAUCAAGAGGAAGGAAAACAUCCAUCUGAGAACAGGAACAGUGCAAACAAUGAGUAGGAAAGGGAUCCAAAGUCUGGCAGAUUUGAAAGGCAGCAAUAAAUGUUCUUCUAGAUGGGUCUGUGUGUUGGUACUGCAGGGUUUGGCAAGGCAGCAAACAUUCAAACAAAACAGACCAUCAAA